AGACUGACCAACUCAACUACCACCCAGACACACAUCCAGAGCUUUGAGUUGGCACUCCCCAAUAUCUACCCUAUCUAUGACCUCCUAGAGAUCCUGAAGGGACUGGCCCAACAGAACCACAGCCACGGGAUCUCCACGACUUGGGACAACAAAAGUUUUGGUGAGAGUCCAGCAUUAGUGGUGUACCAGAACCCAGAGGCCUUGAACCUGACCAACAGCACACUACACGAUGAACAUCUGAAAGUAAAACUGUCUGGACAAAAGAGUAUACUGCAGGACACGCCACAGCUUCUAAUGUCGUUAAAAGGAAUGAUGAGCACCUAAAAGGGGAACUACAAGCAGAACCAAGGUGCCAGGAAUAUAUUUACAGACCAAUGCAAAAGAGAAAAAAAAAAAUCAAGACAGGACGGGGGAAGAAAAGUGUAACAUGAAAUGCCUCCUGAGCUGCUUAUGCCAUCCUCCAAUACCAGCUGAAGAUGACUUUACUGGGAAUAGAACGCUUUGACCAACCAUGCAACCCUGAAACUGAUCCCAAAUCCCACCUCUCAUGUGAGAGCUCCCAAGCUGGUUCUAAAUGCUGCAGUUUAAGACCUCGCCCAUGUGCAUGUUGAAAUUUAAUUGCUAAAGGAAUAGUAUUAAAGAUGCGUGCUCUUCAA